UCACUGAGACUGAGGGGGAGGAGCAGGGAAGGAUAGAAUGCCGACAGCACAGUGGUUCUAGUUCGGCAAAGUAGAACCAAGAGAGAGUUCUCAGAAUCAGGUGGUCACAGGCAGAAGAAUGCACAUUUAUGGGGGCUGUGGGGAGACAGACUCUGCAGGCGAGGGUGCUGGCGCUUCUGAGAAGUCCCGAAAGGUUCCAAGAACGAGCCGUUCCAUAAUUCACGCUGACUCAUUAGCGUCUCAGCCGAGUCCUCCCUUGCAAGUAAAUUGAGUGUUUGCCUCUGCAAGCCUGGGUUCGUUAUCCUCCAAACAUCACCUUCUGGAAGGACACCAGCCUCUUCUGACGUCGCCAGCCUGCCCGGAGGCAGCUUGGCUAAUCUGCUAUUCUUCGGGUGGCAGAUUCACUCCUGGCCUGGGUGUUCCGACGCCACCGCUGGCACCAAGAAGUGGGGGAGGAGGGAUGACGUCGUUAAGCCCCGUGAGGUGAAAGGAGAAUUUAUUCCCAGGAAAGGAACAGCGAAGAUUCUUGGUGAGAGGAAUUUUGGAAACUCCGUUACAAUCUCAGGGGACUCCAUGAGAGCGAGGUCCCGCAGUGACCCAAGCACCACGACACCACCCAAACUGCACAGGGUCAUGCACUGUAGGAGCCACUGAAAAAGGAGUGCAGGAGAAAGCUGGUCCUGGGGGGAAGGGAACGAAUUAGAAACUUCUGGGAGAAAACAGGAACUAUAAAGCUUCCCUUGUCUGAUUUGUUAAAAAUAAAAUGUAA
rnacentral:lncRNA from 1 species